rnacentral:lncRNA from 1 species
UUCAAGAAGUCACAGUUUCGAUUUUAGCUAAAUUUGUAUAAAAAAACUAUUAUCAUUCAUGAUAUAAAAUAAGUAUCAUUAAAUUAAUUAUAGAAUAUAUUUUCAUAAAUUUUAUUUAGAGACAUAAAUAUUAAUAUUAUUUACUACUAAUUCGGUCAAACUAGAGUUUUUUUAUUAGCAAGAUCCCAUAAUUGCAUUCUUUCCUGGACAAA